GAUGAACGCUGGCGGCGUGCCUAAUACAUGCAAGUCGAGCGGACGGGCUAGAAGCUUGUUUCUCUGAUGUUAGCGGCGGGGGUGUGAGUAACGCGUGUAUAACCUACCUAUAAGACGGGGAUAACUUCGUUAAACCGUAGCUAAUACGCGAUGAUAUUUUGAACCGCAUUGUUCAAUGGUGAAAUACGGUCUUGCUGUCACAUAUAGAUGGUUCCGCGCUGCAUUAGCUAGUUGGUAAGGUAACGGCUUACCAAGGGAACGAGGGAUAGCCGACCAGAGAGGGUGCUAGCCUACCUUCGAAGCUGGACAGGGUCCACACUUCUAUGGGAGGUCGCAGACGCCAAUUUUCGGCAGCGGGCGAAAGCAUGACGGAGCAAUGGGGCGUGAGCGACGAAGGCCAUCGGAUCGUAAAAAUGUGUUAUUAGGGAAGAACAUCUGUGUAAGUAAAUGUGCACAUCUUGACGGUAUCUAAUAAGAAAGCUACGGCUAACUACGUG
rnacentral:rRNA from 1 species